rnacentral:rRNA from 1 species
GAUGAACGCUGGCGGCGUGCCUAAUACAUGCAGGUCGAGCGAACAGAUGAGGAGCUUGCUCCUCUGACGUUAGCGGCGGACGGGUGAGUAACACGUGGAUAACCUACCUAUAAGACUGGGAUAACUUCGGGAAACCGGAGCUAAUACCGGAUAAUAUAUUGAACCGCAUGGUUCAAUAGUGAAAGACGGUUUUGCUGUCACUUAUAGAUGGAUCCGCGCCGCAUUAGCUAGUUGGUAAGGUAACGGCUUACCAAGGCAACGAUGCGUAGCCGACCUGAGAGGGUGAUCGGCCACACUGGAACUGAGACACGGUCCAGACUCCUACGGGAGGCAGCAGUAGGGAAUCUUCUGCAAUGGGCGAAAGCCUGACGGAGCAACGCCGCGUGAGUGAUGAAGGUCUUCGGAUCGUAAAACUCUGUUAUUAGGGAAGAACAAAUGUGUAAGUAACUAUGCACGUCUUGACGGUACCUAAUCAGAAAGCCACGGCUAACUACGUG